rnacentral:rRNA from 1 species
UACGUAGGGACCAAGCGUUGUUCGGAUUUACUGGGCGUAAAGGGCGCGUAGGCGGCGUGGUAAGUCAAUUGUGAAAUCUCCGAGCUUAACUCGGAACGGUCAAUUGAUACUGCUGUGCUAGAGUGCAGAAGGGGCAAUCGGAAUUCUUGGUGUAGCGGUGAAAUGCGUAGAUAUCAAGAGGAACACCUGAGGUGAAGACGGGUUGCUGGGCUGACACUGACGCUGAGGCGCGAAAGCCAGGGUAGCAAACGGG